AGAUAUCCAACAAAACUUCUGAGUAACUAAAAAUUUACCUUCUUUUUUUUCCACAAUAAUUGAUGUAUUUGACAAUUAUUAAGCAAUUAGAAGGAGCUAGCGUUGAUGCUAGCUAGAGUGUCAUUCUUUGCUGGAUAAUAUGUUGUUGCAGGAAAAUAUAUUCAAAAUAGGUGGGUUUGGAGGCUUAAUAGUUAAUAGCAUUGGCAUGUACCGUGUAAGAGGUAAGAGGUUUUAUCAUAUGCUUUCACAAGAAAUGAUAGAUAAUUUUUCGGUUUCUACUAAGUUUGUUUGGAACAAAAUGGUCCCUCUUAAAGUUGCUCUAUUUUUGUUUGGCGACUUUUCUCAAAUAGAUUAUCGACGAAAGAUAACUUGAUGUGUCGUGGUAUUAUUGAUGUUGAUUUUGUAUUAUGUUUAGGAUUGUUGUUGUGUACAAGUGUGAGUUAUAUGUCCACAUCGGAUAAAAUAGUAAAUGUUGAACACCUUAUAAGUAAGAUGACUCAUAAACCCAUAGCCUUAAGGUUUUGGGUAAGAGUGUGGUGUCUCUCUUGCUUGUGUGGUUGUUCAAGCCUCGAUGUAGCGGUCACUCGAGCUCCCCCAAUGACCCAACAGUGGUAUCAGAGCCCCGUUCGGCGAAGGGUAUGACCGAGGCAGCCAGUCCGUUUGUACAGAAAGCAGCAAAGACGGUACAAAGCAGUGUCGGUCUGUUUGCGGAAUAAACUCUAGCCUUAAAAUUUUGGGUAAAAGUGUGGUGUCUCCCUUACUUGUGUGGUUGUUCAAGCCUCGAUAUGACGGUCGCUCGAGAUUGUGGAAAAUCCUAAAAGGUGGCCAUCAUCUAUUCUUUGAGUGCAUUUUUAGUGUUCUAUUUUUUUUUUUAUAUAGACUACUCUAAACUAACACCAACUACCUUUCUACUGCCUCUUGAAAUUACUUUUAAAUUUUUUUUAAUACUUUUAUUUGAAAGAAAAAAAACUUUUUUUUUUUUGAAAGAGAAAAAAACUUUUUUUUUUUAAACUUACAUAUUUGUUUAAAUAGUAUUUAAGAUGUUAAAUAUUCAUCGCAACAAAAAAAUUGUCAAAUACAAAAUUUUAAUCAAUUAUUUCAAG
rnacentral:lncRNA from 1 species